GUGAACACUGCCAUCUAUGGUUGAUCUGCCCACCGAGCUGCGGGCAUAAAAUUCAUUUAUCUUUAGUAGAAGAGAGGCUUGGGGAGUGCUUGCCAUUUCAAUGUCCCAUAUGCUUAUGUUUUGACGAAGAAGUCGACAGAUUUCUCGAAGAUUUUUUUGAUAACCUCCUGCGAUGGCCACUGGACGUCUAUUUUGGGCAGCGAUUUCACGAAUCAUAAAACCUUUCACUUUUAAUAAAGUUUCAUUUUGUCCUG